CAUCAAAUGUGUCAACCAUUUCAAUUGUAUCUACUCCCACCCGACGUAAAUGAGUAAAGCAACCUCGAAGUAUGAAAAAAAAAUUGGAAUAAAUACUCAUCACUCCAAAUGGUAAUCUUAUAGGUAAGCUUGAAAGAGUCUAACUCCACUACCAUAAAGAGACUAAAGAUAACUCGAAUUGUUCUUCCCCUUUUUUCCAGUUUUUCUCUUUGUACAUGCAUUCCAUCAGUUACUUCUGAAAGUUAUUUCCUUGACUUACUAUCUGUAGAUAGGAUACAAAUCGUAGAUCAGCCACAUAGAUGUGAUGUACAUUUUCUGGUUUACUCGAUUAGCUACUAUACUUCGGACAAUGAGGGUUGGUUCAGUGGCGGAAACUCAGACUUGGUUGGACAAGGCCCUGUAGCCCCUUAUUGGGGCUAAAGAUACUCUCUAACACCACCCACGAGUGGUGAGACCUUAGCUUGGAUCCUGAUGCAGGUGCAGUGGGUCCCUAUAGACAGUGGUGGUGUGACGGGCAAAUACUCCCGUCAAGAAAGUGACGGCUACUUUCAUUUUAUGUAUUUAAAAAAAUUACUAAAUUUCGGAAAUAGUAAGUACUGUUUAUUCUUUCUUGGCAAAGAAACAAAGAGUAGAGUGAAAUUCCCCAAAAGAACAUAGAAGAAAUGCAAUCAUUUGAAGACUUCUGCGUGUGUGUGUGUGUGUGUGCGAGAGAGAGAGAGAGAGAGACCAAGUCGAGAGCUUUUACGCGAGAAUUGGGUGGAGGGAGAUGGGCGGCGGUCAGAAGCGGCGAAGUCAGGGCGGAGGAGUAGGGAGGAGCAAAGGACGAUCCCC